rnacentral:rRNA from 1 species
CAACCUGCCCUUCAGAGGGGGACAACAGUUGGAAACGACUGCUAAUACCGCAUACGAUCUAAUCUCGGCAUCGAGGAUAGAUGAAAGGUGGCCUCUACAUGUAAGCUAUCACUGAAGGAGGGGAUUGCGUCUGAUUAGCUAGUUGGAGGGGUAACGGCCCACCAAGGCGAUGAUCAGUAGCCGGUCUGAGAGGAUGAACGGCCACAUUGGGACUGAGACACGGCCCAGACUCCUACGGGAGGCAGCAGUGGGGAAUCUUCCGCAAUGGACGAAAGUCUGACGGAGCAACGCCGCGUGAGUGAUGACGGCCUUCGGGUUGUAAAGCUCUGUUAAUCGGGACG